CUCUGUAUAUCAUAAUGAUCAGAAAGGAACAGCUCUUUAGAGCCAUGAAACUGGCGGCGGCCACCGAUCGACUCCUCCGGGCGGUAGUACCAGCGGACAUGGACCCUGACGUUGGCACCACGAGCGUCGGAUUCGAUUCGAUCGAUCCUGGCUACGUAGGAAGGCUUGGACGGAUCGGAGGGUCGCAUCAAGACGCAGUCAGAAGCUUUAAUGGUUUUGUUGAUGUGCUUGACUGUGUAAGAGUCUAGAGUGCGCCUGGGUGCCCUUGGCUUGGCCAUGGAAGUGGCGUCUCCAGGAUUAGAAAUGACAACACAAGAGAGAG
rnacentral:misc_RNA from 1 species